rnacentral:rRNA from 1 species
GACUGCCUAGGGGGGCAGCAGUGGGGAAUAUUGCACAAUGGGGGAAACCCUGAUGCAGCGACGCCGCGUGAGUGAAGAAGUAUUUCGGUAUGUAAAGCUCUAUCAGCAGGGAAGAUAAUGACGGUACCUGAGUAAGAAGCCCCGGCUAACUACGUGCCAGCAGCCGCGGUAAUACGUAGGGGGCAAGCGUUAUCCGGAUUUACUGGGUGUAAAGGGAGCGUAGACGGCAUGGCAAGUCUGAAGUGAAAGCCCGGGGCUCAACCGCGGUACUGCUUGGGAAACUGUUAAGCUGGAGUGCAGGAGAG